ACGUGAUCUGAGUUCAGACCGGAGUAAUCCAGGUCAGUUUCUAUCUAUAAAGAGAUUUUUCUAGUACGAAAGGACCGAAAAAGCGUGGCCAAUAAAUAACUUAUGCCACAAUCAUUAAUUUUUGACUUAACUCAACUAAUAACUGAACUAAUAUUUAACUCAAGAAUUUAGAGUA
rnacentral:rRNA from 1 species